GUAGCGGUGAGGUUCAUGUUCAGCACAGCCUUUGGCAUGUGAACUGUCAUGACAACUCCUUCUACUGUUUUCCCCAUGUUCUGUUUUGGUCCAAUGGUAACAUCAAAUCUUCCUGAAGAACUGUUUUCCUUAAAGCUGAUCAUGUGUUUCACGUACACAGGAAUCGCCACCAAGCUGGAAAGAGAAGACAGCAGCUGAAUGCAGCCUGGCUGUGUCUUUCCUCAGGGAAAUAAAGCUCUUCCUCAUAAAUAGCUCUUGUGUUUCUGGGAGGUGGGAGCAACAGAGGAGCCCAAAACCCGAGAUGUUCUAGCAACAAGGCAACGCCCCGCAAUGUGAGGAGGAGGAAGCCCCAGUUGCUGAGCCAGGGGGGCUGAGUGGCCACGUACUUCUGUGAGCUGACGCGGUAGGAGAUGAGCCUGAAGUUGCCGUCGGGGGGAAUGAAGGAAAGGACUCGCUCGGCCUCCCAGCGCUUGAAGCGGAUGCAGGGGUGGAAGCUGACGUCGUCCAGCAGCCGCGGGUUC